rfam:Aedes albopictus isolate Foshan contig150877, whole genome shotgun sequence.
GAAUUCCAUAGGAAACUUCUGGAGGAAUUCCAUAGGAAAUUCCUGGAGGAAUUCCAUAGAUGGGAAAUUUCUGGAGGAAUUCCAUGGAAAAUUCCUGGAGAAAUUCCAUAAGGAAUUCCUGGAGAGGUUCCAUGGAGAACUCCUGGAGGAAUCCUAUGGGA